rnacentral:rRNA from 1 species
GAUGAACGCUGGCGGUAUGCUUAACACAUGCAAGUCGAACGGACUCUUCGGAGUUAGUGGCGGACGGGUGAGUAACGCGUGAGAAUCUGGCUUUGGGUUCGGGACAACCACUGGAAACGGUGGCUAAUACCGGAUGUGCCGAGAGGUAAAAGAGAAAUUGCCUGAAGAUGAGCUCGCGUCUGAUUAGCUAGUUGGUGAGGUAAAGGCUCACCAAGGCAGCGAUCAGUAGCUGGUCUGAGAGGAUGACCAGCCACACUGGGACUGAGACACGGCCCAGACUCCUACGGGAGGCAGCAGUGGGGAAUUUUCCGCAAUGGGCGAAAGCCUGACGGAGCAAUACCGCGUGAGGGAAGAAGGCUCUUGGGUUGUAAACCUCUUUUCUUAGGGAAGAACAAAAUGGCGGUACCUAAGGAAUCAGCAUCGGCUAACUCCGUG